AGCAGCCGCGGUAAUUCCAGCUCCAAUAGCGUAUAUUAAAGUUGUUGCAGUUAAAAAGCUCGUAGUUGAAUUUCGGGGUCAGUAGGUUGGUCNUGCCACNGGUACGUACUGGUCUCACUGAUUCCUCCUUCCUGAUGAGCUGUAAUGCCAUUAAUUUGGUGUUGCAGGGAAUCUGGACUGUUACUUUGAAAAAAUUAGAGUGUUUAAAGCAGGCUAACGCUUGAAUACAUUAGCAUGGAAUAAUGAAAUAGGACGUUCGAUCCUAUUUUGUUGGUUUCUAGGAUUGACGUAAUGAUUAAUAGGGAUAGUUGGGGGCAUUAGUAUUCAAUUGUCAGAGGUGAAAUUCUUGGAUUUAUUGAAGACUAACUACUGCGAAAGCAUUUGCCAAGGAUGUUUUCAUUAAUCAAGAACGAAAGUUAGGGGAUCGAAGACGAUCAGAUACCGUCGUAGUCUUAACCAUAAACUAUGCCGACUAGGGAUCGGAUGAUGUUAAUUUUUUAAUGACUCA
rnacentral:rRNA from 1 species